rnacentral:rRNA from 1 species
AUACGUAGGGGGCGAGCGUUGUCCGGAAUGACUGGGCGUAAAGGGCGUGUAGGCGGCGGUGUAAGUCUGGAGUGAAAGUCCCGCAUUCAAUGUGGGAAUUGCUUUGGAUACUGCAGUGCUAGAGUGCGGAAGAGGUAAGUGGAAUUCCCAGUGUAGCGGUGAAAUGCGUAGAGAUUGGGAGGAACACCAGUGGCGAAGGCGGCUUACUGGGCCGUAACUGACGCUGAGGCGCGAAAGCGUGGGGAGCGAACGGGAUUAGAUACCCUGGUAGUCCACGCAGUAAACGAUGACAACUAACCGCUGGGUCGUAGUGAUUCAGUGGCCAAGCGAAAGCGAUAAGUUAUCCACCUGGGGAGUACGACCGCAAGGUUGAAACUCAAAUGAAUUGACGGGG